rnacentral:misc_RNA from 1 species
CUUGAAAGCUCAACUUAUGGUUUUCUCUUAUGAUUGUGGGGUUCUAUUGUAUUACCAUGUAUCUAGAGUCGAGAAAGAAGUUAGAAAUGAAAAUUUUGAGCUUACAAGGUGUAAAGAAAAACCAAUUGCAAAAGUGGGGGAAGAGAAUUGCAAGCACGGAGUCUGCCAUUACACAUGGUAACGUAAAAAUUCGAGGAUCAUUUAGUUGUUUCUGUGGAUCACAUGUC